rnacentral:rRNA from 1 species
AUUGAACGCUGGCGGCAGGCCUAACACAUGCAAGUCGAGCGGAGCGGAGGACGGGUGAGUAAUGCCUAGGAAUCUGCCUGGGAGUGGGGGAUAACGUCCGGAAACGGGCGCUAAUACCGCAUACUAUCAGAUGAGGCUAGGUCGGAUUAGCUGGCUGGGGGGGUAAUGGCUAACCAAGGCGACGAUCCGUAACUGGUCCGAGAGGAUGGUCAGUCACACGGGAACUGAGACACGGUCCAGACUCCUGCGGGAGGCAGCAGUGGGGAAUAUUGGACAAUGGGCGAAAGCCGGAUCCAGCCAUGCCGCGUGUGUGAAGAAGGUCUGCGGAUUGUAAAGCACUGUAAGUUGGGAGGCGUUACCAACAGAAUAAGCACCGGCUAACUACGUGCCAGCAGCCGCGGUAAUAC